rnacentral:rRNA from 1 species
UACGGGGGGAGCAAACGUUGUUCGGAAUUACUGGGCGUAAAGAGCGUGUAGGCGGCCAAGCAGGUCCGCUGUGAAAACUCGAGGCUCAACCUCGAGACGUCGGUGGAAACCGUUUGGCUAGAGUCCGGAAGAGGAGAGUGGAAUUCCCGGUGUAGCGGUGAAAUGCGCAGAUAUCGGGAAGAACACCCGUGGCGAGGGCGGCUCUCUGGGACGGUACUGACGCUGAGACGCGAAAGCGUGGGGAGCGAACAGG